rnacentral:rRNA from 1 species
UACUAAGCGGAGGAAAAGAAACUAACAAGGAUUUCCUUAGUAGCGGCGAGCGAACAGGAAAGAGCCCAGCACUGAAUCCCGCGGUUCUGCCGCUGGGAAAUGUAGUGUUCGGGAGGGUCCAAUUAUCCCCCGGCGUCGGACCGCGUCCAAGUCCAUCUUGAAUGGGGCCACUUACCCGUAGAGGGUGCCAGGCCCGUAGCGACCGGGACGCGCCGAGGGAGAACCUCUCCUUA